AUUGAACGCUGGCGGCAGGCCUAACACAUGCAAGUCGAGCGAGCGGCGGACGGGUGAGUAAUGUCUGGGAAACUGCCUGAUGGAGGGGGAUCACUACUGGAAACGGUAGCUACUACCGCAUACCAUCAGAUGUGCCCAGAAGGGUGUAGCUAGUAGGUGGGGUAACGGCUCACCUGGGCGCCGAUCCCUAGCUGGUCUGAGAGGAUGACCAGCCAAACUGGAACUCAGACACGGUCCAUACUCCUACGGGAGGCAGCGGUGUGGAAUAUUGCACGAUGGUCGCAAGCCUGAUGCAGCCAUGCCGCGUGUGUGAAGAAGGCCUUCGGGUUGUAAAGCACUUUCAGCGGGGAGGCGUUACCCGCAGAAGAAGCACCGGCUAACUCCGUGCCAGCAGCCGCGGUAAUAC
rnacentral:rRNA from 1 species